GAAACAACCCAGACCGCCAGCUAAGGUCCCAAAGUCAUGGUUAAGUGGGAAACGAUGUGGGAAGGCCCAGACAGCCAGGAUGUUGGCUUAGAAGCAGCCAUCAUUUAAAGAAAGCGUAAUAGCUCACUGGUCGAGUCGGCCUGCGCGGAAGAUGUAACGGGGCUAAACCAUGCACCGAAGCUGCGGCAGCGACGCUGAUGCGUUGUUGGGUAGGGGAGCGUUCUGUAAGCCUGCGAAGGUGGCCUGUGAGGGUUGCUGGAGGUAUCAGAAGUGCGAAUGCUGACAUAAGUAACGAUAAAGCGGGUGAAAAGCCCGCUCGCCGGAAGACCAAGGGUUCCUGUCCAACGUUAAUCGGGGCAGGGUGAGUCGACCCCUAAGGCGAGGCCGAAAGGCGUAGUCGAUGGGAAACGGGUUAAUAUUCCCGUACUUGGUGUUACUGCGAAGGGGGGACGGAGAAGGCUAUGUUGGCCGGGCGACGGUUGUCCCGGUUUAAGCGUGUAGGUGUGUGUUCCAGGUAAAUCCGGUUCACUUUAACACUGAGGCGUGAUGACGAGGCACUACGGUGCUGAAGCAACAAAUGCCCUGCUUCCAGGAAAAGCCUCUAAGCAUCAGGUAACAUCAAAUCGUACCCCAAACCGACACAGGUGGUCAGGUAGAGAAUACCAAGGCGCUUGAGAGAACUCGGGUGAAGGAACUAGGCAAAAUGGUGCCGUAACUUCGGGAGAAGGCACGCUGACA
rnacentral:rRNA from 1 species